GUAGAAUGGUGCAGGUAUGGAAGCUGGAGAAAAUGGGGAGAUGUUAGUCAUAAGGUACCUGAACUUCAUACUAUGGACCCAUCUGUGAAGGACUGAUGGAUUGUGCCCCAACCUUCAAGGCCCCAUCCAGGAGACAAGAUGAGCAAGAAUUAGAAUGGGCAGCACAAGGCGGAGGCGGUUGUGUUCCUCAAGGACCACUGGUUAAUUCCAUAGGCUGCUUCAACUACUCCAGGAAUCUGUGGCCCAGUCAUCUAUAACCUCCAUUUUCCUUAUUUUUGGCCUCCAGAAGAUGGGAUUAUCUUUGGCAAUGGAAGUCAACGGAAGCAAUCCAGGUUGCAUUGCAAAGUUCACCACACCAUAUGGGCUGGGCCAUCAAACCAAAUGAACAUUUUACAACCGAUUGCAAACCCUUCUGUAAUAGAAAUAUGUGGAUAAUGUAUGAAAAUGCUGCCAACUUGUUUGAAAGCCCAGGCGACAUGAUCUCUGGAGUAUAGUCAUAAUUGUAAAAGAAAAGACGGCACCAGGCAGAUCUUAUCACAGUCUUUGGUCCUUCAAGAACACAAUGGAGAAAGACAAAAAUUACUUUCCAAUUAAUGGUUUGUGCUGUUAUUUACCUAACAAUUCAAACAUGGCAUGCUUUGGUUUGAGACCUAUUUAUACCCAUGCUUUAAAUGCAAUAAA